GUUUUUUUUCUCUCAUGGAAUAUUUUAGGAGCCAAACCAUGAUUUAAAAAGAAGAGAAAAAAGUGAGCUCUUUCCCCAAGAAAGGUAAAUGAGAGUUAUGCCAGAGUGCUAUUUGAUUCUGAUUCUAAUUCCUGAGAAAACUGUUUACUUUACUAGAGGCACUGUGUGAUGUCCCCAGGUACUGGCCAUAGACAUGCUGGUCUCUGCACCAACAGCUACCACAACAGAUUAUCAGUAUGACCUAGAGAUGAAAUUGUAAUUGUUAGAAGAAAAAAAAGAAAGGAAAGAAACAGAGGUUGAUGAAAAAGCUGAUGGUGCCAGCAUGGGAUACAACCUGUGUUGAGAAAGAGGUGGCAUUGGACCCCACUGCCACGUGAAGAUGAACCGGGAGAAGUCAUUCUACUUUUGGAACAAGAGGCAAAUAAGUUUUCAAUUUAUCAAAUAUUUACAAGAGCAUUUGGGUGGCUCAGCGGAUUUGGAGCCAGACUUAGAAAUGGAAGGUCCUGGGUUCAAAUUUGACCUCAGACACUUUCUAGCCAAGUGAUCCUGCAAGUCUCUUAAUCCCCUUUGACUAGCCCUCACUGCUCUUCUGCCUUGGAACCAAUACUCAGGAUUGAUUCUAAGAUGGAAGGUAAGGUUCUUGUUUUAUAAGUAUUUACUGAGUGCUGUGGGUUUGUAUUGGUAGGAAUUCUGUAAAUACGUGAUAUGGGGAGAAGGAGAGAAGAUACAAAAAAAUUGCAUAAGCCAGUGGAAUGGAUAUUCCUCCACAUAUGAUGAUGAUGAUGGUGAGGACUUUGUGUGGAGAGCUAGGUCAAGCAGCGAUAGAGCAAGAGUAACACAGUCAGGAACACUCGAGUUCCAAUCUAGCCUCAGACAUUUACUAGCUCGGUGACCUGGGCAAAUCACUUAACCACUUGCCUG
ensembl:lncRNA